GUGGGGGCCCGUGGGCCAGGGCAGGGGCGGGGCUGGGGGCGGAGCCGCGGCGGGGGCCGUACGGGCGGGGGCCGGGCCCGAGCCCGAGCCGGACUGUCGGGGAGCCGGCGGGAGCUCGGCCGCGCCAGGUCUGGUGCAACCGGGCGGAGAGCGCCGGCGCCGCGGCCGCAGACAAAGGGCCGCCGCGCUCCGUCUGCCUCGAGCGUCUCAUUCUGAGAAAGCAGCUCACAGAUUCAAGCUAAUUACACUGGUGCCAGCGAUGUGUGUACACAAGCCUAGUUCUGAAAACAACCACGGGAAAGCUCCGACAGUUGUAUCGAGUGGAUGGAAUUAUUUUAUCGAGCUUAUUUUAAGAUAUUUCACAGUGAUUGACGGAUGGAACUCAAGGUCCCCAGGCUUGAUGACAAGCUUCUACCCACUGAGCCGUCUGAAUGGCCUGAUUCUUGUUUCUUUAAGGGAGCCCUAGGCUGUUUUCCUGCUCUUUGGAAGCCUUCACUCAACUCUGAUCUUUAGAUCAACAGCCAGAUGCACUUCCUCCACUCUCUUCCAGCCAUAUAGAUGUUUCUUCAGUAUCGUUCAUGAAACCAGAGAAAUUUAUGUUGAAAAUAAUGUAUUGGUUGGGCAAAGGGGCAAAAUGCUGGAAAUUCCUGUUGGCUACCUCACCAGAGAGCCUCUGUUGACUUUGCAGAGAAAGAAAGGGGGCUCUGAUUUUCCUCGUGUGUCCCUUCCCUCUGGAAAC
ensembl:lncRNA